AUUGAACGCUGGCGGCAUGCCUUACACAUGCAAGUCGAACGGUAACGCGGGGCAACCUGGCGACGAGUGGCGAACGGGUGAGUAAUGUAUCGGAACGUGCCCAGUUGUGGGGGAUAACUGCUCGAAAGAGCAGCUAAUACCGCAUACGACCUGAGGGUGAAAGCGGGGGAUCGCAAGACCUCGCGCAAUUGGAGCGGCCGAUAUCAGAUUAGGUAGUUGGGGGGGGAAAGGCUCACCAAGCCGACGAUCUGUAGCUGGUCUGAGAGGACGACCAGCCACACUGGGAGUGAGACACGGCCCAGACUCCUACGGGAGGCAGCAGUGGGGAAUUUUGGACAAUGGACGCAAGUCUGAUCCAGCCAUGCCGCGUGCGGGAAGAAGGCCUUCGGGUUGCAAACCGCUUUUGUCAGGGAAGAAACGCUCUGGGUUAAUACCUCGGGGUAAUGACGGUACCUGAAGAAUAAGCACCGGCUAACUACGUGCCAGCAGCCGCCGUAA
rnacentral:rRNA from 1 species